UACGAGAGGCCCAAGCGUUAGGCGGAAUCACUGGGCUUAAAGGGUGCGUAGGCGGAUAUGUAAGCGUGUUGUGAAAGCCCUCGGCUCAACCGAGGAAUUGCGGUGCGAACUGCAUAUCUUGAGACAGGUAGGGGUCAGUGGAACGUUCGGUGGAGCGGUGAAAUGCGUAGAUAUCGAACGGAACGCCAAUGGUGAAGACAGCUGACUGGGCCUGUUCUGACGCUGAGGCACGAAAGCGUGGGGAGCAAACAGG
rnacentral:rRNA from 1 species